rnacentral:rRNA from 1 species
GAUGAACGCUGGCGGCGUGCUUAACACAUGCAAGUCGAACGGUGAAGGCGGAGCUUGCUCUGCUGGAUCAGUGGCGAACGGGUGAGUAACACGUGAGCAAUCUGCCCCUGACUCUGGGAUAAGCGCUGGAAACGGCGUCUAAUACUGGAUACGAGCUGCGAAGGCAUCUUCAGCAGCUGGAAAGAAUUUCGGUCAGGGAUGAGCUCGCGGCCUAUCAGCUUGUUGGUGAGGUAAUGGCUCACCAAGGCGUCGACGGGUAGCCGGCCUGAGAGGGUGACCGGCCACACUGGGACUGAGACACGGCCCAGACUCCUACGGGAGGCAGCAGUGGGGAAUAUUGCACAAUGGGCGAAAGCCUGAAGCAGCAACGCCGCGUGAGGGACGACGGCCUUCGGGUUGUAAACCUCUUUUAGCAGGGAAGAAGCGAAAGUGACGGUACCUGCAGAAAAAGCGCCGGCUAACUACGUG